CCUACGGGAGGCAGCAGUGGGGAAUAUUGCACAAUGGGGGAAACCCUGAUGCAGCAACGCCGCGUGAAGGAAGACGGUUUUCGGAUUGUAAACUUCUAUUAAUAGGGAAGAAAGAAAUGACGGUACCUAAAUAAGAAGCGCCGGCAAACUACGUGCCAGCAGCCGCGGUAAUACGUAGGGGGCAAGCGUUAUCAGGAAUUACUGGGUGUAAAGGUAGAGUAGGCGGCAAGGUAAGCGAUAUGUGAAAGCCUUAAGCUUAACUUAAGGAUGGCAUAACGAACUAUCUAGCUAGAGUACAGGAGAGGAAAGCGGAAGUCCUGGUGUAGCGGUGAAAUGCAGAGAUAUUAGGAAGAACACCAGUGGCGAAGGCGGCUUUCUGGACUGAAACUGACGCUGAGGCUCGAAAGCGUGGGGAGCGAACAGGAUUAGAUACCCGGGUAGUC
rnacentral:rRNA from 1 species